UUAUUCUCUUCUUAUGACAAUCAAAAGCAUGAUAGGCAACCAGCUAAUCCAUCUCAGUAUAAUCUCAAGUGCAACUCUAACAUUGUUAGAUUUGCAAACAAUUUUGUCUUCUAUUCUGACUAUAUAAAAGUUGCAUACAAAAUCAUUACUCAAUACUUUACCCAAAAAAAAAAAAUCAUUACUCAAAACACUUCCCACCA
rnacentral:lncRNA from 1 species